rnacentral:rRNA from 1 species
AACGAACGCUGGCGGCGUGUUUAAGACAUGCAAGUCGCACGGUGUCAUUUUGGUAGCAAUACUUGAAUGGCAUAGUGGCGCACGGGUGAGUAACACGUGAAUUACAUGCCCUGUAGAGGGGGAUAGCCCAGGGAAACUUGGAUUAAUACCCCAUGGUCUCGCAAGAGUAAAGGUGGCCGCAAGGCUGUCGCUACAGGCUCGGUUCGCGCCCUAUCAGCUAGUUGGCGGGGUAACGGCCCACCAAGGCUACGACGGGUACCUGGUCUGAGAGGACGAUCAGGCACACUGGAACUGAGACACGGUCCAGACACCUACGGGUGGCAGCAGUCGAGAAUAAUUCACAAUGGGGGCAACCCUGAUGGUGCAACGCCGCGUGGAGGAUGACGGUCUUCGGAUUGUAAACUCCUGUCAUCCGGGAGUAAGACCUGGGCAUGAAUAGUGCACAGGGUUGAUAGUACCGGAAGAGGAAGGGACGGCUAACUUCGUGCCAGCCGCCGCAGUAAAAC